rnacentral:lncRNA from 10 species
GUCCGCAGUUCCGGGGGACCGGCGCUCCAUGCAGGGCCCCACCAACCCCAGGCCCUGGUUCCCAGGCGGCGGUGGCGGCAGCAGCAGCAGUUUUGAAGCCCGAUUUCUCAAGGUGAUCAAUCCAGACCUCUGCCGUAUGUAACCACCUCCUGGUGACCACCUCCCUGUGGGACAGCUGGAUACAACCUACUUGACUCACCCUGAUGACUCCCACACCGCGUAUGGACUGUGCAGAUAUGUCACAAUGACCACCUCUCAGUCGCAGUGUGACUCCAUGGAGCUGGUGCUUGCUUUCUCUAAACUCAAUUAGGACUCACCUUGGGAAACCUGCCUUGGUAAUGUCCUGGACCCCAAAGCCUCUGCCCACAAGUCCCUCUCUCUUGCUCCUCACCCAGAGGUUGAGUGUGUGUUUCCUGGAUGACUGUCUUCUUCCCAUCAGUCCUGGUGAUGUGUCCUGCCCUUUUCUCUCUAGAUUUGUAAGUAAUAAACUGCUUCU